rnacentral:rRNA from 1 species
CACGUAGGGCGCAAGCGUUGUUCGGAAUUACUGGGCGUAAAGGGCGCGUAGGCGGUCUUGCAAGUCCUGUGUGAAAUCCCUCGGCUCAACUGAGGAACUGCACAGGAAACUGCUUGGCUUGAGUUCGGGAGAGGGAAGCGGAAUUCCGGGUGUAGCGGUGAAAUGCGUAGAUAUCCGGAGGAACACCGGUGGCGAAGGCGGCUUCCUGGACCGACACUGACGCUGAGGCGCGAAAGCUAGGGGAGCAAACGGG